rnacentral:rRNA from 1 species
GACGAACGCUGGCGGCGUGCUUAACACAUGCAAGUCGAGCGGUAAGGCCCUUUCGGGGGUACACGAGCGGCGAACGGGUGAGUAACACGUGGGUGACCUGCCCUCAGCUCUGGGAUAAGCCUGGGAAACUGGGUCUAAUACCGGAUAUGACUCCAUGACGCAUGUUGUGGGGUGGAAAGCCUUGUGCGGCUGAGGAUGGGCCCGCGGCCUAUCAGCUUGUUGGUGGGGUGANGGCCUACCAAGGCGACGACGGGUAGCCGGCCUGAGAGGGCGACCGGCCACACUUGGACUGAGACACGGCCCAGACUCCUACGGGAGGCAGCAGUGGGGAAUCUUGCGCAAUGGGCGAAAGCCUGACGCAGCGACGCCGCGUGAGGGAUGACGGCCUCGGUU